GACGAACGCUGGCGGCGUGCUUAACACAUGCAAGUCGAACGGAAAGGCCCUGCUUUUGUGGGGUGCUCGAGUGGCGAACGGGUGAGUAACACGUGAGUAACCUGCCCUUGACUUUGGGAUAACUUCAGGAAACUGGGGCUAAUACCGGAUAGGAGCUCCUGCUGCAUGGUGGGGGUUGGAAAGUUUCGGCGGUUGGGGAUGGACUCGCGGCUUAUCAGCUUGUUGGUGGGGUAGUGGCUUACCAAGGCUUUGACGGGUAGCCGGCCUGAGAGGGUGGCCGGCCACAUUGGGACUGAGAUACGGCCCAGACUCCAACGGGAGGCAGCAGUGGGGAAUAUUGCACAAUGGGCGGAAGCCUGAUGCAGCAACGCCGCGUGCGGGAUGACGGCCUUCGGGUUGUAAACCGCUUUCGCCUGUGACGAAGCGUGAGUGACGGUAAUGGGUAAAGAAGCACCGGCUAACUACGUG
rnacentral:rRNA from 1 species